rnacentral:rRNA from 1 species
AACGAACGCUGGCGGCAUGCCUAACACAUGCAAGUCGAACGAGACCUUCGGGUCUUGUGGCGCACGUGUGCGUGCCGCGUGGGAACCUGCCCUUAGGUUCGGAAUCCCUCCCCGUAGGGGGAGCUCAUACCGGAUAAUGUCUUCGGACCAAAGAUUUCUCGCCUUUGGGUGGGGCCGCGUUAGAUUGGCUAGUUGGUAGGGUACAAGCCUGCCAAGGCGAGGUUCCAUGGCUGGUCUGAGAGCAGGAUCAGCCACGCUGGAGCUGAGACACGGCCCAGACUCCGAGGGGAGGCAGCAGUGUGGAAUAUUGGACGAUGGGGCAAAGUGUGAUCCAGCAAUGCGGGGUGAGUGAUGAAGGCGGUAGGGUUGUAAAGCUCUUUUACACGGGAUGAUAAUGACAGUACCGGGAGAAUAAGCUCCGGCUAACUCCGUG